GACGAACCGUGCGAACGUUGCUCGGAAUUAUUGGGCGUAAAGAGCUCGUAGGCGGUCUGUCGCGUCUGCUGUGAAACUCAGGGCUUAACCCUGAGCUUGCAGUGGGUACGGGCAGACUAGAGUGCGGUAGGGGAGACUGGAAUUCCUGGUGUAGCGGUGAAAUGCGUAGAUAUCAGGAGGAACACCGGUGGGCGAAGGCGGGUCUCUGGGCAGUAACUGACGCUGGAGGAGCGAAAGCGUCGGGGAGCGAACAGG
rnacentral:rRNA from 1 species